rnacentral:rRNA from 1 species
AUGAAAACAGGAGAAACAUAUGCCAUUGAGUUUAUCAGUGAAACCGGCAAGCCCCUACAGCACACCUCAAAGUUUAUCAACCAAUGCGGAGUCGUUGUUAGAGACAACGUCCCGAUCACCGUCCAGGAAUGGAAGGAGCCAAAGAAGGCACGUAUUGGUUUCAGUUUUGUCGACAAGAGAACGAAAAAGGAUUGCUGGAGAAAGCUUAUGGAACAUUUCAUUCUACCUCCGGAAUACAACAAAGUCGAUGAAUUCGGUAACGAGGUUCCGGGUGGAUGUCAGAGGAGGAGGCUAGUUGAAGAGUUCGCUCUUCAGAAGAUGGGCGAAGCAUUCCGGAACUUCAAGAAAAAUUUAACCCGUGACUAUGUCAACAAGGGCAAGACUCCGGAUUUCAAUGGACAACAUGAGAAACUGAAAGAUGAUUGGCCAGAAUUUGUGAGGCAAAAGCAAUCGGAGCAUUUCAAGGAAAUAUCGAAAAAAAAUAAGGAUAAUGCGAGUAAGAAAAAGUUCCAUCAUAUUAUGGGGCCAGGAGGAUACCGUCUUUUGGAGCCUAGGUGGCAGAAGAUGGAGGAGGACCUGAGGGUGCGAGGAAUCCCUCUAGGUACAGAGGGAUGGGACCCAAGGGCCAAAAGCUGGUGGUACGGGCAUGGGGGAUCACUAGACCCGGAGACAGGGGUGUGUGUUCACCGGCAGAGACAGUUUGCUCCCACCCAAGCCCUUAUUGACGCAAUGACCCAAGCUCAAGAGGGCUUGAUCAAGUUCAACAGAGAGAAAGACGCACUGACAAUAGCCCUCGGGAAUGAUGAACACGGAGGACGUGUACGAGGCAAAGGCAAAGUUCCGUGGAAAGUAGGGUUUUCCCAGGACAAUGACCGUACUGUUACAGAAGCCGUAAGAGAAAGACGGACCGGGAUGCAGAUCUUAUGA